AAAAAUAAUAAUUUUUGUUUACCUGGUUUUCUUCCAAAAUGAAAUUCCAGCAAAAUCAGCCUGAUUUCAUGAAGCCUUUCAAUUUUGAUGGCGCUGCAUUGUCCGACAGACUGUUGGGUCUCUGUCAAAUAUUAUCAAGAGUCAGAUUAACCCCAUAUAGUGCUCUGGAGCCAGUGGGUUUAGCAAAGCUCCUUUGGGUGUGUGUCUGUUCAGUUGUAUUUUUAAAUAAAAGUACCUCAUGUCAUUCUUCCAUAAUAAACCCUCAGAUCUUAUUUAAUUGCAUAACUCAGUGGUUCUAGAAAUAUGAUCACCUUUGUGUGUGGACUCAUCUGUUUGUACAAGAUGGCUUCUUAUAUCAGUCCUUAGCUAUAGUUGUGUGCUCUGUGCCCUCCUGCUAUUUCUGGCAUUAAGGGACACACAGCCUUGGUGCUUCGGUGAACAUUCUGGAAUAUCAUAUGACACAACUGCUUGUAGAUCGCUUGGCACUUCUAGAUCACAGUGCCACAUGACACAGCUGCUUCUAGAAUGUGUUGGUAAAUUCUUCCAUUUUAGUAAUUUGGUGGCAGAAGAUUAGAGAAGUAGAGAAUGUUCCAGAAAAACAGAGCUGAAUAGUCAAAGUCUGGAAGUUUUGCCCUGAGAGUUAGAGGGUCUUAGUGAUCUUUUCAUUCUCAUGAGACUGCUAACAAAUGCACCACCUGUGGUAGUGGUUGGUUAGACAUAGAGAUAUAUGUAGCGUCCUCAUUGUUCUCCAUCAGGUGACAGUCCCUAUGUGUAUUCCUCUAUGGACCCUACUGUGGUUCUUGGGAUCCUUCAGAGGAUGUGAAGCAGAGAGGAAGGAGGGCGGGUAGUGGAAUACCCAUAGGGACCGUGCAUAUCAAAGAACUCCAGUUUCUGUAAGCUUUCUUGGAGCAUUUUAUCUGACAUGUCAGACAAUAGGCCUGUCCAGAUGAACUUGACUGUUAUAUGUGAUUAAAACCAGUUACGUUACUUCCCAUUUCUGCUGUCUCUCUUCGAUACUUCUGCAACCAUGCCAAGGAAAUACCUCCUCUGUUUGCCAGCACUGAUUUGUUCUUCACUGGAAUGCGGUGAUGUUACCAGAUUUGCCCGUUACUUUGAGUAGUACCCAUGAGUCUACACCAGGCACAGGGCCCAAGUGUGCCAGGUGCUGCACAGACAUAGAAUGGAAGACACUCCCUUUCCUGAAGAUCUUAUGAUUUAAAGAACAAAGCAGACAAACACAAAUAGGCAGCAAAGCAAAAUUAGAGGCACAUGGUGUGAAAGAUACAUGGAGAAGAUAUGCCUAUCCACCUUAUGAAGAAUAAAGGUCAAGGAAAAUAACUUGUCACUGUUACCUCCAGUAAGCAGUAAUCUGUUUUGUAUCUUGGGUAAUGGUGCCAUGUUAUUCCUCAUACUUUCUGAGGCCUCAGAGCUACCAAACUAGACUUGU